AAGAUGCAGCCAUCAAGAGGAAGAUUGAGUACAAUAUGUAACAGUUCUAGAAUAUUCAGAUUAGUCUAGAAUAUAACAUUUCCAAAACUUCCAGAACGGAUACAACAAGGUUUUAAGAACUAAAACUAGUUUCAUUAUUUACUUUCAUUACCAAAUAUAAUUUUUUUUUAUCCUAAUGUUGUUAUCCCCAAAAAUAAACUUCAAUUUAACCCUCAACUUUAACCAUUUAUACCCCCAUCAUAUCACAUACCACUUUCAAAUUCCAUAAGGACUCAGGCAUUCUUAACAUUCAUUAUCUAUACAUAUAAAAAAACAUAACUCAUGCAAUUAGGUUCAGACUUAACCCAAUUAUUUUCUAGAAUCAACA
rnacentral:lncRNA from 1 species